rnacentral:lncRNA from 1 species
AGUACAAUAUAUUCAAUUUCUCUUGCAGCAAGUUGGCUGCGGCUCCACUCUUGUUUUCAGAUUAUCACUCUGCAUCUGUUUUCAGUGUAGGUUUAUUUUUUUUAAAGCAUGACUGAUAUAGCUGUGCACUUCAACAAAACUGAAUCAAGUGUAUUAUUAAGUUCUGGAAGGUGCUUCUCAAAAAGCUAAUGUAAUUACAGCCAGGGCUAUACCAAUACACUUUGCUACUUGUAUUCUGUUCCACGUACAAAAAAGGUAACUAGACUGGGAGUUGAAAUUUAUCUCGUAAUUGGUGACAGAUUAUAGCGAUCCAUCACAUCUGAGCACAUACUGCUGGUUCAGAGAGUUCAGGUCUUCCAACAUUCGAAAAAGAUUCUGCUGCAUCUCAGAAGGAGUUGAGAAGGGCUCCCAUUGUUGCAUCUUAGCACCUGUUGCUUGGAGUCAAUCGGUUUACGAUAUAUAAUGGUAGAGCCAGCUCUAGUUUAACUUUUCUGUGCCAGAUGGUGGGUGCAUAAAGAGGUGGAUACAGUGAUGAGGACUAGAAGGAAAGGCAGGAGGCAUUUUGUGGUACCACCUGCAAAGGUCUAGUGCUUAGUAGGUGCCCAAUCAUGUCAAUCCUUGAUGCUGACCUGGGUCCUGCAUAAUAGCAUAACAUUAUCAUGGUCAUCACAUCAUUAUUUAUUUGUUUGUUUAUUUAUUUAUUUAUUUACAGUAUUUAUAUUCCGCCCUUCUCACCCCGAAGGGGACUCAGGGCGGAUUACAAUGAACACAUAUAUGGCAAACAUUCAAUGCCAACAAACAACAUAUAUAGACAGACACAGAGGUAUUUCACAUUUUUUUUCCAGCUUCAUGAUUCCGGCCACAGGGGGAGCUGUUGCUUCACUGUCCACUAGUGGCUGUACUUCCUCAUUCCUUCCUCGUGUUUUGCUGGCAGUUUUAUGAUGUUGUAAAUUAGACUCAGGGACAUGGCUAAGUCCUGUCUACAGAAGGCAUUCUUUCUUCACUGAUGUUGAGAUUAAAUCUAAAUACCAGUCCAGCUAGCUUCUAUACAUGGAAUAAGGAAGACGCAACCUCUUAUCUAUUGCUUCUGGCAGCAAAAUGUCACUGGCAGUCCUUUAAGCACAUUUGCUGAGAAACAGGUCUUAACGAAUGCAGUGGAGUUUAUUUUCACUAAAGCAUACAGAAGAUAGUGGCUGAUGGCAUGUUAAAUCAGAAGAUUUAUAGUACUCUCUUCAAACAAAUCUGAUCUGUUGGAUCAAUUUCAGUAAAAAGACAAACAGUGUCUAAGAAUGUUCUCCAGCCCUUUGCUGCUCCAACAUUCUUUGAUAUUUUUCAUUUGCUCUUUUUUUCUUUCUUUCUUUUUGCAGAACCCUGGAGCUUGUUUUUAUUGAAUUCCUGGACUUCAGCUUAUAGUUCUUAUCAGACCAGGGCUCUGACCCUUGCCUUGCACAAAUAUAAGAGUUUGUGACAUUCUGAACAUACUUUGUGGAGUCUGUUGGUCUCACAUGCAAAGGUGAAAGAAGUGGCAACAACGGAGGAAUCUUGUCUAGGAAUACCUAUUCAAUUUCUUUAUCUAGAAACCCAGAAAAGUUCCAAAAUCUGAAAUUGUACUCAUGGGUGGCUGUGAUUGUGGUGCCUUUCUUUUCUGAUGAUUCAUGUUCCAUGCACAAAAUGAUUUUAAAAUACUUUACAUAAAAUUAACGUUCAGGAUGCUGUCUUCACCAUGGUGCCACUUCUGGCUUUUUUGAAUGCCUAGUUGGGAAAAGAGCUCUUUGGUGCUUUCCUUCAAGGAAAAGAGCAAAGAGAGUUGAGUUGGUGCUCUUUUUAGCUUGUUCUUUGAAGGACUACACUCUUUUUUGUGUGUCAGGAACAACUUGAGAAACUGCAAGUCGCUUCUGGUGUGAGAGAAUUGGCCGUCUGCAAGGACGUUGCCCAGGAAACACCCAGAUGUUUUGAUGUUUUUACCAUCCUUGUGGGAGGCUUCUCUCAUGUCCCCGCAUGGAGCUGGGGCUGAUAGAGGGAGCUCAUCCGCGCUCUUCCCCAGGUUGGAUUCGAACCUGGCAGCCUUCAUGUCAGCAACUCAACCUUCAAGUCACAAGGCUUUAACUCACUACGCAAUUGGGGGCUCCUAUAACCUCUGUUUAAAAGCCUCUGCUUAAAAGCCUCCAAAGAAGGAGGAUCCACCACAUUCCAAAACAGGAUAUCCCACUGUUAAACAGUACUCACUGUCUGGAUGUUCAUCUUACUGUUUAGGUACAAUUUUUUUCCUAUAAUUUGAAUGCAUUGCUCUGGGUCUGAAGUCUCCAGAACAGCAGAAAAUAAGCUGGCCCCCCUCCUCAAUGUGACAUCUUUUCAAAUAUUUCAAUACAGAUUUAUCAAAAACAAGUUAUGCCAGACUAAUCUGAUCUUUUUUUCCAAUAAGAGUUACAAGCUGGGUAGUUGCAGGGAAUGCCGUGGAUGUAGCAUAUCUGGAUUUCAGUAAGGCCUUCAACAAGGUUCCCGUCGCCUUCUGGCAAACAAGCUAGUUAAAUGUGGGCUUGGCAAAAGUACGGUUAACUGGAUCUGUAAUUGACUAAGCGAACAAACCCAGAGGGUGGUCACCAAUGCUUCCUCUGCAUCCUGGAAAGAAGUGAUGACUGGAGUGCCAUAAGCAGGGUUCUGGGUUCGGUUCUGUUCAACAUCUUUAUCAAUGACUCAGAUGAAGGGUUAGAAGGCACGAUCAUCAAGUUUGCAGACGACAUUAAACUGGGAGGGAUAGCCAACACUCCAGAAAACAUGAGCAGCAUUCAAAAUGAUCUUGACAGAUUAGAGAGAUGGGCCAAAACUAACAAAAUGAAGUUCAACAGGAACAAAUGCAAGAUUCUCCACUUAGGCAGAAAAAAUGAAAUGCAAAGAUAUAGAAUGGGGGAUGUCUGGCUCGACAGCAGAACGGGUGAAAAAGAUCUUGGGAGUCCUUGUGGAUAUCAUGAGCCAACAAUGUCAUGUGGCGACUAAAAAAGCCAAUGGCAUUUUGGCCUGUAUAAAUAGGGGUCUAGUAUCUAGAUCCAGGGCAGUCAUGCUACCCCUCUAGUCUGCCUUGUUCAGAUCACACCUGGAAUACUGUG